rnacentral:piRNA from 1 species
AAAAGCGUGCUUGCUAUUUUGGGUUC